UUCAUGGAGAGUUUGAUCCUGGCUCAGGACUAACGCUGGCGGCGUGCCUAAUACAUGCAAGUCGAACGGUCAUGCGUUUGUAGCAAUAUGGAUGCAUGAUAGUGGCGAACGGGUGAGUAACACGUGGAAAACCUACCCUCGAGCGGGGGAUAACUCCGGGAAACUGGGGCUAAUACCGCAUGACAUCCCAACCCGGCAUCGGGAGGGGAUCAAAACCGCAAGGUACUUGAGGAUGGUUCCGCGGCCUAUCAGCUAGUUGGCGGGGUAACGGCCCACCAAGGCGACGACGGGUAGCCGGCCUGAGAGGGCGAUCGGCCACAAGGGGACUGAGACACGGCCCCUACUCCUACGGGAGGCAGCAGUAGGGAAUUUUGCGCAAUGGGCGAAAGCCUGACGCAGC
rnacentral:rRNA from 1 species